rnacentral:rRNA from 1 species
UACGUAGGGUGCGAGCGUUGUCCGGAAUUAUUGGCGUAAAGAGCUUGUAGGCGGUUUGUCGCGUCUGCCGUGAAACUCGAGGCUCAACCUCGAGACGUCGGUUGAAACCGCUUGGCUAGAGUCCGGAAGAGGAGAGUGGAAUUCCCGGUGUAGCGGUGAAAUGCGCAGAUAUCAGAGGAACACCGAUGGCGAAGGCAGGUCUCUGGGCCACUACUGACACUGAGAAGCGA